ensembl:lncRNA
GCGAAAAUCACGCGUUUUCUCUUCGCAAAUCCCCCAUUUAAGCGAAAAUCACGCGUUUUCUCUUCGAAAUCCCCAUUUAACCCGAAAAUCACGCGUUUUCUCUUCGCAAAUCCCCCAUUUAACCGAAAAUCACGCGUUUUCUCUUCGCAAAUCCCCCAUUUAACCCAAAAAUCGGGCGUUUUCUCUUUGAGAAUCCCCGAUUUAACCCGAAAAUCACACGUUUUCUCUUCGCAAAUCCCCCAUUCAAGCGAAAAUCACGUGUUUUCUCUUCGCAAAUCCCCAAUUUAACCCGAAAAUCAGGCGUUUUUGGUUCGAGAACCCACCAUUUAAGCGAAAAUCACGCGUUCUCUCUUUGGAAAUCCCCCAUUUAACCCGAAAAUCAUGCGUUUUCUCUUCGCAAAUCCCCCACUUGACCGAAAAUCACGCGUUUUCUCUUCGCAAAUCCCCCAUUUAACUUGAAAAUCACGCAUUUUCUCUUCGCAAAUCCCCCAUUUAAGCGAAAAUCACGCGUUUUCUCUUCGAGAAUCCCCCAUUUAACUUGAAAAUCACGCGUUUUCUCUUCGGAAUUCCCCCAUUUAAGCGAAAAUCACGCGUUUUCUCUUCAAGAAUCCCCCAUUUAACUUGAAAAUCUCGCGUUUUCUCUUCGGAAAUCGACCAUUUAAGCAAAAAUCAC